rnacentral:tRNA from 1 species
CAAUUUAGAGCUUGAAUAAGCAUUUUAUUUACAUUAAAAAGAUAAUUUAAAAAUUUAAAUUGA